CUGACCCAUUAGAAUCUCAGCCCAAUAUCCUGUAAUACAACUUAUUUCAAAGUCUAACAAAAUAAUCAUGUUAACUCAUAAGAUGACAUCUAUUUGGGAUCUUAAGGAGCUGCAUUUAGUCUCACCAACUAAUUUUACUUUUAAAUUAACAAAAAUAAUUAUCUCCCUCUUACCUUGCCCUCCAUUAAAGAGAGAGAAAAAGAGUGAGAGGGAGAAAAUAAAAACACAAUACCCUUGUAACAAAUAUGUAUUAGCAAAAUGAAAUCCCAUAUUGACCACAUCCACAUACGUGUCAUUCGGAAUUUUGAAGCUUCAUCUCCGGUGUCAGGAAGAUUUCAUUAUUAUUCCUCUAGAAUUGUGUUUGGUCAUUAUAGGGAUCAUAGUUCUUUAAUCUUUUAAAGUUGUUUAACUUUACAAUUACUCUCCAGAUUCUGCUCACCUCACUAUUAUUUCAUACAAAAUUGUUUCUUAGAAAACGAUAGGAAUCUAUUACAUUAAUGCAUAUUAUUUCAUUUAGUCAUGUCUCAAUUGAUAAGCACCUUCUCACUUCUAAUUCUUUCCUACUAUAAAAAGAGCUGCUAUAUAUAUAUUUUUGCACAAGUGGCUUCUUUUCCCUUUUCAUACCUCUAGGAAGUAGGUCUAAUAGAAGUAGAAUUUAGUCAAAAGGCAUACAUACAAUUUGACCCCGUUCCCAAGUGAUUUCUAAAAUGGCUGAACUACUUCGCAGCUCUUUCAACAAUAAAUAUUUGCCUCAGAUCCAUGAAAUGGUUUUGAUCUGUCAAAAGUAUUUCUUAUAUCUACUGAUAUAAUCACUUCUGUUGUUUUAGCUAUUAAUGUGAUCUAUUAUGUUUUAUGCUUUUUUUUCCUAUCCUAUGGAUAUUGAAUUCCUAUAUUUCUGGAAUAAAUCCCUCCUAAUCAGUAUGUAAUUCCUUUGAUACAAUGUUGCUCUUUAAGAAGCAUAUACAAAGCUCUAAGACCAAUAAUGUAAACUUUCAAUGAAGCAAUGAUCAAAGGAUGCAAAAGAAUAGAUAUAAAUUGUUUAUAACCACUUUAAUACAUGUUCAGUCAAAAUUCCUCCUGUGAUACAGAUAUGGUUGUGAUACUUCAAAAAGUCAAAAAAGAGAAAAACUCUAGACCAAUAACCUUAAUGAAUAUUAACAGAAUAAUAUUAAUAUGGAAUUUAGUCUCUUCAUUUUACUGACAAGGGUUAAUUGCUACCCAUAGUAUGGUGCAAGGGAAGCUAAGUCAGGAACUCUAAGGCCCAUCUCUUUUACAAAAUAUGUACAGUACCUACACUGUUGACCUUCUAAGACUGUAAGAAAAGUUCUUUGUAAACUAUAACUGGCAAUAACCAUAUAUAAUACUGAUGCAAAGCUAUAAAAAUAAUGCAUACUCCCUAAUAAUAAAGCAAUGGCCAAAGGAAAUGAAGCAACAAUUUACAAAAGAAAACUUACAAACUGUUAAUAACCACAUUAAUCAAUGUUCACAUUCCCAGAAAAGCAAAGGAAGGAAACAUAAACAUAUAAAAGAACAUUUUUUUUUUUUUAAAGGAUAAAACCAGAGAGACCACAGAUAAGAUACUUUAUCAUAUUGUUAUUGGCAACGUAGAAUGGAGCAAGUAACAUAACACACCCCUAAACAAUAUGACUGAUCAAAGGGUUCGUAUCUUUGGACCCAGCAAUUCCAUUGCUAGAUUAAAAUUAAAAAUUAAAAAAAAUUAUAAUAAAAAGAAAAUCUAAUUGUAACAAAAAUAUUCAUAGCAAUUAUGAAGGCAAAAAAAAAAAAAAAAAGCACAACAACCUAGAAAUAACAUCAAUAUCCAAGCAAAUCACGAACAUAUGACCAAAAUUUCUUAAGAAUCUUCUUUCUCAGGGCAGCUAGGUGGCGGAGUAUAUAGAGCACCAUCCCUGAAGUCAGGAAGACUUGAGUUCAAAUCUAGUCUCAGACAUUUAACUCAUCCUAGUUGUGUGACCCUGGACAAGUCACUGAGGCAAUUGCCUCAGCCAAAAAAAAAAAAAAAAAAAAAAAAAGAA